rnacentral:lncRNA from 1 species
AUGCACACUUGCCGAUGGGGGAGUGUCCUUCAUCUUGCAGGCCUGGCCACCUCUUCAGUCGACAGAUACCUGGGCCGAAAACCAACUCGGGCAGUGUGGGCCCAACUGGGGCUCUUCAGUGGAGUGACCACCCUCAGUCCUCUUGGAUCCCUCUGCUGGCUCCACCUGAGCGCUGCCCUCGCUGGCGGCCCCUGCCUUGCUCUGUUGUCAUCCUAUAAGCCCUGCAGUCAGGCCCCUUGGCGCCCUUCCACUGUGUUCAUGAUUGUCUCCUGGCCUCUGCUGUGUAGAGGUCUGAUGCCCUCUGCCCCUGGCGAGCCAAACCCUGUGAUGGUGGUUCCUGCCACCAGCUUCCUGUGGCACCGCUGCCACUCCUGCCAGCCUCCUGCGGCACAGCUGCCACUCCCCGUUACCCAGCAUGGCACAAGUGAGCGGCGUGACCUUGGUUUUCCCAGGGAACCAGUGCUUGGCAGCUCCCACCACACACACGUCUACGCCCACCCUCCGCCAGCCACAGCGGUUGUGACGUCUCCACCCUGCCCAGCAAAAGUGGAAGUGUGGCUUGUGCUGCUGGGAAUCUCCGGGUUUACCCCACCUCCAGGGGCCUUGCCAGGGUGUCAAACCCUGUGUCUCUGGACAUUGUCAUUAGGUCUCAGCUUUCCCAUCAGGUACCUCAGCACCCAGUCCUGCCAGUGCUCCUGCCUCCUGUCCCCAGCUGGCCGGGACUGCAGCCCCCUUCUGUGCCCCGAACUGGCCGGGCCUGCAGCCCCCUCCCGUGCCCCGAGCUGGCUGGACCUGCAGCCCACUCCCUGGUCACUGGAUGUUGCUGACACGUCACUCGAUCGGAGCCCUAGCACCCAAGGGGGCCAGGGCCUGACGGGGGAGGAGCGAGGGGUGGGCCACGUCUCUCUGCAGGCUCAGAAGCUUCCUGAGAGGCUAGAGAGUGAAACCUUCCGGCGCCACACACGGCCUCCUCCCUGUCCAGGGUCCUGGGUUCUCCAGAUGGGGCCUUGGCCUUGGCUAGGUUUUGGUCAGGAGCUGGGGUGCUGCGCCCCCACCCAGCUUCUCUGA